CUGCUGCCUCCCGUAGGAGUUUGGGCCGUGUCUCAGUCCCAAUGUGGCCGUUCACCCUCUCAGGCCGGCUACUGAUCGUCGCCUUGGUGGGCCGCUACCCCGCCAACCAGCUAAUCAGACGCGGGUCCAUCUUACACCACCGGAGUUUUUAAGACGAAGUCAUGCGACUCCCUCUGUUAUGCGGUAUUAGCACCUAUUUCUAAGUGUUAUCCCCCAGUGUAAGGCAGGUUACCCACGCGUUACUCACCCGUCCGCCACUAAGAUA
rnacentral:rRNA from 1 species